rnacentral:rRNA from 1 species
UACGGAGGGGGGCUAGCGUUGUUCGGAAUUACUGGGCGUAAAGCGCACGUAGGCGGCUUUGUAAGUUAGAGGUGAAAGCCCGGGGCUCAACUCCGGAAUUGCCUUUAAGACUGCAUCGCUAGAAUUGUGGAGGGGUAAGUGGAAUUCCGAGUGUAGAGGUGAAAUUCGUAGAUAUUCGGAAGAACACCAGUGGCGAAGGCGACUUACUGGACACAUAUUGACGCUGAGGUGCGAAAGCGUGGGGAGCAAACAGG